CUCUUGUCUCUUUCCUUCUUCCUCUGAUCCUCCCUCACAACAUCCAGCAUCCUGUUCCCAAAGGUCCGGCCCGGAGAACCUCUGCGACUUCCAAGUUUUACUUUGUCUCUUUCACAGCAACAUUAAUUAUCUUCAUGAGAUGGAGUUACAAGUUCCAGCAUCCAAAAGCCGCAGCCGAAGGACCCCGGGUAAACCCCCAGGCAGAACCCGGUUCGAGCCACGUCCGUAUGGCGAGUCAAGCCCGCCGAGAAGCCGUGAAAGCAACGAAACCAAGCCGCCAGCUAUAGGUUGUAGCAGGCUGCUGCUGGGGGAAAGAGGAAGAUGUGCCAGGUCUGCAAGUCAUCUGAUGACAUAUAGACGAGCAUGACCUGUGUAAAAUGUGCAAAAUUCAUCUGCACAAAGCACACUGUGAUGACAUGUCCCUCAUGUGCUGUGUAGAUGCACAUACAUGCACCUUGUUCAUUUCCGCCUAUUCAUUUUUGUUUUGUAUUUCUGGUUCUACAUCGUGUUUACUAUCACAACGGGAUGACAUGUCACUUGUGUGCUGAGGAGACUCACAGAC